UUCGGCCUACGGGAGGCAGCAGUAGGGAAUCUUCCACAAUGGGCGAAAGCCUGAUGGAGCAACGCCGCGUGGGUGAAGAAGGUCUUCGGAUCGUAAAACCCUGUUGUUAGAGAAGAAAGUGCGUGAGAGUAACUGUUCACGUUUCGACGGUAUCUAACCAGAUAGCCACGGCUAACUACGUGCCAGCAGCCGCGGUAAUACGUAGGUGGCAAGCGUUAUCCGGAUUUAUUGGUCGUAAA
rnacentral:rRNA from 1 species